CGCAAUAUCGCCACACGACGACUAGUCGUAGUAGGAUUUCCUCUGACCGUGUUUAUGGUACAGUAACUUUGGUCAUUAUUUUUCACGCGGUGGAGUAGAAAGCAGAUCAUUUCUUGUGUUGCUGACACCUUUAUCAUUUGAGAGAAAAUGUAAUAAGUCGAGGCUAUCCGUUCCAACAAGAAGAGAAGAUUAUUUAUAAUUCAAAAACGUAUAUGUUGGUCAGAUUUCUCACGUUGUUGUGCUAUUGACCGUAAUCCAAGAACAUAACUGAAAUGGCCACCACUCCACCCUUUAUAGCAAAAGUGAAGAGUGUAACCACAACAAAUAGUGGACAGGUGUAUGUAUGUCCGUAUGUUUGUCCGUAUGGGGUUUGUUGCCAGAAAUGGAGAGCUAAACAAGGACUAUACGUGUAUUUACGGAGAAGGAGAGGAGGAAUUUCCUGUUUGGCUCGAGCUACAAUUUAUUUAUGUCACUUUUUGAUGCAACAUUACUCAUAAUGUUAACUGCGCGAUUUCUAGUCUAAAUUAUUAAUUCAAAUUUGCAAUUCUUUUCCACACGACACGCUAUACGUACGUACGUACGAAUAUGUGCUCUACUACCAGCCAUAAGCCUUCUAAGUCUCAUUUUCCUCACUGACUGACGUUUCUCUCCUCUCUCUCUCUUUAGGUCUUCAAACAAUAUUAACUUUUUGGGUUGCACAGUGUGAGAACGAGAUUAUGAAGACGAAAAGAAAUAUAUGAAGGGUUGUUUGCCGCAUGGGUGGCAGUUGUAUAAAUCCAUUUGUAUUCUUCUCCCUCUGUCUUCCUUCUUCUUGUUGUUGAUGAUGUCAGGAUUUCGGUACAACCCGGACGGAUAUCUAUCCACUUUCUUCCGCUUCUUCAACCUCCUCCUUCCUUCCUCCUUGACAUUUCACCGAUACAAGAAGGGACCCGAGGGGUUCACAUCGCACGUCGUUUCGUAAAUGUCUCUCCGUGUGGCUACUGGCUUUACAUUUGCUUUGCAUAGACAUACCUCCACACAUGGAGGACGUUAGGCUCAUUGAAUUGUUCAGUUUUUGAUUGGACUAUGCAAACAGAACAUUCGUGUCUAUUGCAGGAGAAAAUAAACGAUGAUAAUUAUCGCUGACCAAGUGGUGGUGGUGGUGGUGGAAGUGGACACAACGUACAAUAUCGGGUUGCCUAUUACAGAGCUAUAUAUAUAUCUACUUAUACAUACAUACACCUUGGAGUAGAGCACGAGUUGAAAACUCAACAUUGUAAUUAAGUUGGAAAUGCCAGUUGCCCAUGGACACGAAAGUUCAUAACAAACAAUCUCAUGAAAUAUUCUGUACAUCAUAAAAUAUAAACUUCCUUUAGACUAGGCGACAUUAAAUCAAGCUAAAAAUGUUACUUCGUCACGACCAUGUUCCACCAAUUUUAAACCCGAGUAUGUAAAAACUUGAGUGUGGACAGGUAGUCGAAAAAAAUAAACCUGUCAAUUCUAAAUUCUUGACGAGACGGAGAGGGAGACAACUCCCAAUAAUGUAUGUGUGCAGUAGUAAAAAUGUAAGCUGACAUUUCGUCUUCCUUGACGUUGACGAUGUCAAAUUUAUGAAACACUUUCUCAAUGAUGCGCGCAUUAUGUACAGUUAUUACUGCUUCAUCUUAUAUGCUGUGAUGCCCAUUAUCUCCAAUUUCAUAUGCCGCACAUGAAUGACUAUUGAGUUGCAUAUAUACAUUCCGCAGCAGCAGCACGGUGCUUAAUAAGGUCCAAGUUGCUACUUGUAUUCUAUUCUUGUACUUAUGUAAGUAUGCUUAACAACGCCAACACUAUGUGUCACGGCGUUAAUUGAGAUUUCCUUGAGCAAACUCGUAAAUUAUGGAAUCAUUUGCAUAUGUAUUCCGCUCCAGCCAAUUUUCUCUCAACGGUUUCAUGCAUUUUUUAUUUAGUAAAUGCUUUCACUUUGAAGUGUGUCGUAAAAUGAGAAAGAAAACUGAUAGCAAACAAAUUCCGUGUGAGUGAUGACUACGUGUAAUGUAUGCAAGUUGGCCUAUUUAGUUUUUUGCUUUGAAAAUAGGGAGAAAGCAGUUAUAUUUAGACAUUAUAUGAUUGCGACCUAUUGAAGUUAUUGACUUUUAUUGCGAAAAAAAUUAUAAAGUAUGGUGGUACAAGUCUUGAUUGGUCGGUUGUGCCAUUCCUGUACAUGAAUAUAACUCGUAUGCAUGAACAUACUCGUUUCUCCGGUGUCGCCGUUGUUGAAACAACUCUUGUGUAAACAUUGACUUUAAUAAAUACUCUCAA